rnacentral:tRNA from 1 species
GUGAGUGUAGCUCAACUGGCUAGAGCACCGGACUGUGGAUCCGGAGGUUGGGGGUUCGAGACCCCUCACUCACCCCA